GAAAGGAAGGGAGGAAGGGGAGUCUUUUUCCCUUGCUGUACUAGGGACGCAUUGAUUUAUAUUUUAGAUCUGCAUGUGUGUCAAGAUUAAGAGACCAGCCAUUCCACUCAAAGAGUCAGCUUGCAUUCAGCGUUUCACCUUGCUGGCCCACCCUUUCCACAGACAUGAUAAUGAAUCAGAUAGUGGGAAGCCAGGAGAAAGUUCGGUAGAGGCUUUCCUGUGAUGGGAUAAUCAUGGUGAAAGAAACCUUCUUAAUCCAGCGCUAUGCGAAAGUCAGGUUCAACAAACAAAUUACAAGAACAAUCUCCAUGUGCUCCAUUGAAGCAGUACCAGCAGGACACCUACAACUUGCCUUCCAGUUGCCUUAUAAAAAGCCCCUCUUCCACAGAGAGGAAUCACUUCUACCCUGUUUUUGUUUUGAAUCAACCCUCUUGUCUUAACUCGGCUUCAUCGCUCUCAAAGCUAAACUGCAGAAAAACAUCACCUGGGUUCCACCAAUCCACCUCUGUUCUUUGCUCCCUUUCCCUCCCCUGCCCAUAAAGAUCAUGCCACUGCACGCCAGCCUGGGCAGCAGAGCAAGACUCUGUCUCAAAAAAAGAAAAAAAAAAAGCAGAUACGCAGUAGCACAACAAUGUAAAUUUACUGCAUGCCACUGAAGUGUGCACUUAAAAAUGGUGAAGAUGAUAAAUUUAUGUUGUGUGUGUUUUACCACUAUUAGUGAAAAAAGCAGAUACGGUUUCAUACAAAGCAGUUGUGGCACAUGUGUCUCAUAGUGUCACAGGUGGACCUUCCUCAUAUGUCUAAGUCACCUGGGGGGGAAAUGCUCUACUUUGUUUUGCUUGAUUUGACCUUCUAUGUUGAUC
rnacentral:lncRNA from 1 species